rfam:Ixodes scapularis strain Wikel colony gcontig_1108378953642, whole genome shotgun sequence.
UCCCGGUUAGCUCAGUAGGUAGAGCGCUUCACUGGAAAUUGAGAGAUCCCGGGUUCGAUACCCGGGCCAGGCG